rnacentral:rRNA from 1 species
UACAGAGGGUGCAAGCGUUGUUCGGAAUUAUUGGGCGUAAAGCGCGUGUAGGCGGCCUAUCAAGUCGGGUGUGAAAGCCCUCAGCUUAACUGAGGAAGUGCGACCGAAACUGAUGGGCUUGAGUGCCUGAGAGGGUGGCGGAAUUCCGCAAGUAGAGGUGAAAUUCGUAGAUAUCGGGAGGAACACCAGUGGCGAAGGCGAGUCUCUGGGUUGAUACUGACGCUGAUGCGCGAAAGCCAGGGGAGCAAAC